GUGACUGAUAUGGCCAGGAUUCUUUAUGUGAUUUGUCAGGUAUCUCAGGAGGGGUCAGGCUGGUAGCUGACAGACACUCUGCUCAGUGGCUAACUUGUGCAGGGUGUAGGGCAUAGUAUCCCAGGAGCUCACCUGGGAUUGGUGUCUUCCCAGGGCUGCUCAGCUGAGAGCAUCUUCCCAUGACUCUGAGAGCAGCUCCUAGAGGUACCACUUCUACAGUGCCCACACCUGCCUCUAGCCGUCUUUCUAUCCAUGUCACCAGCUUCAAAUGCAUGCAUGUCUGCUGCCUUCAGAGAAGCUAUAGAACACUCAGCCUCCCCAGCCCACUUCUGCACCCCACAUUCAUUGACAUUAUGCUUUUAAAUGGCUCCCUGGGGAAUUCUGCACCAUGUUUCAGCAGCACUAAGACAGUGGCAUUGACCUGAGCAGAUGGAGAGAGAGAAGUUGUUAUGAACAGUAGGUAUGGCCUCAGGACCUUUUCCACCUUUACCCACUUUACUGUGUAUCAGAACUGUAGUAACAGGUUAAAGGUCACAAUUCAAAUGAAAGCAUGGCUUUCCUGUGGUAGAGAAACACAGAGGAAUGGAUGUCUGGAAUGGGAACACUUAGAAAUCCUUGGGGCCCUGGGGGUAGGUGUCCUUGCUCCUAUGUUUAGGGCAAGAGGGUCAAGUCUUUGCUUGACCUUGAAGAGACACCUGGUCAGUGGGCAGCCAGGGCUAGUGUCCACAGUGUCCUCAUAUGUCUCACAUUUCUGGGUCAUAGCUAGUGCAGGGCAGAAGACUGAGAGGCGGGUGUGGACAUGGGUAACACAUGAACAACUCUCUAGAAGACAUGGGGUUUAAUGGGUGGGAUGCCAUGUGUCCCUCUCAGAUAAUGAUUUCCUAAUGAGACAUUAGUGUUGUGGAAUAUUUGUUUAAACCAGGCAAAGAUGUCUCACAUUUGUUCACGCUAUGUAAAGACGUGUUGCAUUUGCAUUAAUAGAAUAAAACUAACGUGGGCCCAGAGAUGUGGGGUCAGCAACUGGUUGACCGGAAGUAGCAGGGAGGAGCUUAAUGUGGGUGUUGUUUUAGCUGGGGCAGUGUGGAAGUGGGUAGCUUCUGGGAUGCCAGCGAAGAGUUAGUCAGUUGCUAUUCUAAAUCUCUGAGCUCAUGAGUUUUCACCCUAGCCUUUGAAUCACCAUUGUUUGGGGCUACAGAAGUCCCCCCCCCAGGCUACGGCCUUAACAGCCAGCCGCUAGUAGUUUAAAUCGCAGCUGCUGUAAUGAGGUAAAACAACACAUUGGAAAGCUAUCCUUAGUACAGGCACACUGUAGUGCUCUCCACUGGGCACCAUCAUAUCCUACCCUCCUGACUAGGAAACUUCCCACACAGGGCCCAAGGAAGGGAACUCGACAGUCAAGAUAUCUACAGGAUGAUCCAGCUAAGGAAGGAUGCCCCAUAGGACCAUACAUCUGUGCCCCAGGAAGCCUUAGAAAUGCUAGCCGGCAUCAACUGCAGGAGGAGCCAUGCCUGAGUGAGGAUAAGGCGCCUGUCACGGGAUGGGAGUUUCUGAAGAGGACUCAGAGACAGUGAACUCUAGUGGCCAUGGACUGAAACCUCUGCAACCAGGAGCCCGAUGGACUCUUCCUCCUCUAAGUUGAUACCUUAGGGUGUCUUGUCACAGUGAAGGAUGGGAGCUCAGUGAAAUUCCAAGGACUACAGGGCAGAAAACAGCUGCCUCAGCUGCCCAAACAGCCCAUCAUCUGCAGCUACAAACUUCCUGGAGGGCAUGGCUACAACAUGACUUGUAGGUGGCUGACUUCUGGCUCCGAGGCUCUGGACCAGCGUGGCCUAGGAUCCCUGAAACCUUCAAGCAAGAGAGGAUAUGUUCUGAUGCACUCUCUUGGUUUAGGUACAGACACAGAGUAUGGGUGUCUGAUGGGCACUUACCCCCCAGGCAACCCUUAGCAUACUUGGACCACAGCUCUUGUCCUUCUGAGCCCCUAAAUGCUCCCUUCAAGCAGCUGUGAGGACUGUGACAAGUGGGUGCCCCCAUGGAGUCAUAGCCAGAUCCAGAUUGUCUGGAGCUGUAGGGCGGUGAGGUCUGGGAGGCUGCCUCCAGAAUUUUGGGAUCCCAGAGUUGCUGCUCCUUCAUCAUAUGUCAUGCAUGAGGCAGGGGAUGAUUUUGGACAAGGUUUUCAGCAAGGUCAGUUUCAUUUAUUUCAUUCCUUCUAAGUCAGUUCUCCCAGUGAGAGCCUCUGCAAGGACAUUCUGACAGACUCAAGGAUGAAUGUGAAUACCUCAGGCUAGAGCCUCUAUAGAUAACCUGUGUGUGAACAUUGGGGCCCACGGCAAAAUCUUUUGUAUGAGCCAGUUCCUAUGAGCUUAAGUUCCUGGGCCUGUGGCUUCCAGACCAUCCUUCCCAAGCCUGGCUCUGAUUGGUGCCCUGGUGCUGGGCUUGGACGGACUGGCAUGUGCUCCCAGACUCUGAGGAUGCUGGAGGGAGGGCACAGAAAAUGUCAGCUGUUCUACAGACAGGGGGCAUUCUACUUCCCGGAGGUCCUGGGAUACUUGU